CUCACCCAGAUCUCUCUCACGAAGACUCUCUCCUGCCCAGUGAAACUCAUUUGCUAUCUCACUUCUCUCCUGCGUCUCCAUCUCCCCUCCCUCGUGUCUCCUUCUCCAUCUCCCCUGCCCAGUAAACCUGUCUUCCUUGCCCUCCGAUCACAACCCAGUUAUUCUCUAAGGAUCAACAAAGUCAAGUUUGGACACAUGCGCUAGAUUUUUUUUCAACUCUUUCGACUGCUCUUCACUCACAGGAGUCAACUUCAGAGGCUUUUCAUUAGGACUUCAGUGCGUUUUGAUUGGUAGAGGAUAUGAGACAAAUUUGUGUCAGUUAUUACUUGUUUUGUAAUUUUGAAAUCUUGGGAUUUUAUUGAACCUAUUUUUGUAACUCUUUGUUAAUGUAAGCACUCGUGGUUUUCCUCAAUUGAUGUAAGCGCUCGUGAUUUUUGUAAA